rnacentral:rRNA from 1 species
UUCAGCAGCCAUAUCACUCUGCAACUCACAACUGGCAACCCACUGAAGCUAAGCAGGUGUGAGCCUGGCCAGUACCUGGAUGGGAGACCUCCUGGGAAAAACUAAGGUUGCUACCU